AUGCUCACUUUUGCAGCACACAUACUAAAAUUGGAAUGAUAAAGAAAUUAACAUGGCCCCUGCACAAGGAUGACAUGCAAAUUUAUGAAGUCUUCAAAAAAAAA
ensembl:snRNA U6 U6 spliceosomal RNA